UCCUCAAGGUGGAUGCCUUAAACACGAAGUUCUCAACCCUAAAUUCCACUAAACAUCAGUAUAUUUUAAAAUGAAAAAGUACCAUCGGCUUAUCACAAUUUUUUUCGGUAACUGUUUGCAGCCCCAUAAAAUCUAGAUCUGGUUUGGUAUGGAUCCAAUAGAAGUCUUUGCUGAAUGUGAUCUUUCUCAGAAUCCGUAUAGAUGACAUCGGCUUGCUUUUUCUGGAAAUGGUCCUGCACAAGUCAUGCUAGUUUCCAUUCAGCAGGAGCAUUCACAGAUGUUUAUACAACAGAAAAAACUAUACCCAUAGAGCCAUACGACUGCUACGGUGUCCCUUGUGUGACAAAGAUUUGAAAUGUGUACCAUUUUCUUUUGAAACUAUGGAGAAUAAAAAUGGUGAAGACAAUGCAUCUUGGAGUCACUCAAACAAUGAGAUAGAAUAGGAGAAACAUUUGUUUGGGCUAAAGGUGGGAUUAGUAGCUGAAUAUAGGCAAAUUGAAGUGGAAGACAACUCUAAAAUUAUGAUAACAAUCAAUAAAAGAUAUUGUCUAAGCUAAAAGAUGAGAGUAUAUUUUUUAUAAAGUUUUCUUCAUCCUUUCUAAAUUUACCCAUAUUUCCUCUUAUAUAAAAAAAGAACAAAACAUGGCAAACAAUUUUCUAGCAGAUUAUGCGGUCUCUCCCUAGCUUUAUGCCUCUACGAAAGUAAUGAUAUUCAUGAUUAGAGGAAGUUGUAUGAUCUCUUUAUAUUGGAUCACCCUAUUUAUCAUUCUCAUUAAAUGAUGAUAUAAGGGGUAUUGAUUUUCCAUUAAGCUUUGGAGCAUCUAAGUGUUAAUGAUGCCUUUUAUAUGUGAUAUAGUAACCAACAUCCUUUUUCUCA